GACGAACGCUGGCGGCGUGCUUAACACAUGCAAGUCGAGCGGUAAGGCUCCUUCGGGAGUACACGAGCGGCGAACGGGUGAGUAACACGUGAGUAAUCUGCCCUUCACUUCGGGAUAACCGCCGGAAACGGUGGCUAAUACCGGAUACGACGCGCUUUCGCAUGAGAUGCGCGUGGAAAGUUUUAUCGGUGGAGGAUGUGCUCGCGGCCUAUCAGCUUGUUGGUGAGGUAACGGCNCACCAAGGCUUCGACGGGUAGCCGGCCUGAGAGGGUGACCGGCCACACUGGGACUGAGACACGGCCCAGACUCCUACGGGAGGCAGCAGUGGGGAAUAUUGGACAAUGGGCGAAAGCCUGAUCCAGCAACGCCGCGUGAGGGAAGACGGCCUGGUGU
rnacentral:rRNA from 1 species